CACGUAGGGGGCGAGCGUUGUCCGGAUUCAUUGGGCGUAAAGGGCGCGCAGGCGGCCCGGAAAGUCGGAUGUGAAAACUCGAGGCUCAACCUCGAGCGUGCACCCGAUACUGCCGGGCUUGAGGCAGGUAGGGGAGAUCGGAAUUCCUGGUGUAGCGGUGAAAUGCGCAGAUAUCGGGAGGAACACCAAUGGCGAAGGCAGCUCGCUGGGACGUUACUGACGCUGAGACGCGAAAGCGUGGGGAGCAAACAGG
rnacentral:rRNA from 1 species